rnacentral:lncRNA from 1 species
CUCGAGCAGUCAUAAGGAAGUCUACCUUCUCGUCGAUGACUAGCUCGAUGCUAUAGUUGUGUAUUUAGUUCUUUGACCUGAGGUACAUCAACAGUUCACCUUGAGUGUGUUAUAGUUUGACUAUACCAUAACUUGAUUUUCUAGCCAUUCAGAAUCCUGAGGUGUAUGUUGGCUGUAGCAUAUUCAUUGUAGGAACUAGGUCGCACCAAGAUGGGAUCUAUCAAUCUCGGUAGAUGAGAGGAGUAGUCCUAUGGAGAUCGAAAGAUUGAGUCCUUAAGCCCAUGGCC